rnacentral:rRNA from 1 species
AGUUUGAUCCUGGCUCAGGACGAACGCUGGCGGCGUGCUUAACACAUGCAAGUCGAACGGUGAACCAGGGCUUGCCCUGGGGAUCAGUGGCGAACGGGUGAGUAACACGUGGGCAACCUGCCCCUGACUCUGGGAUAACUCCUCGAAAGAGGUGCUAAUACCGGAUACGACCACUUCGGGCAUCCGAUGGUGGUGGAAAGAAUCUUGGUCAGGGAUGGGCCCGCGGCCUAUCAGCUUGUUGUGGGGUAACGGCCCACCAAGGCGGCGACGGGUAGCCGGCCUGAGAGGGCGACCGGCCACACUGGGACUGAGACACGGCCCAGACUCCUACGGGAGGCAGCAGUGGGAAAUAUUGCGCAAUGGGCGAAAGCCUGACGCAGCGACGCCGCGUGAGGGACGACGGCCUUCGGGUUGUAAACCUCUUUCAGCAGGGACGAAGCGAAAGUGACGGUACCUGCAGAAGAAGCACCGGCUAACUACGUG